rnacentral:rRNA from 1 species
UGACGUCAAAUCAUCAUGCCCCUUAUGACCUGGGCUACACACGUGCUACAAUGGUUGGUACAACGAGUUGCGAGUCGGUGACGGCGAGCUAAUCUCUUAAAGCCAAUCUCAGUUCGGAUUGUAGGCUGCAACUCGCCUACAUGAAGUCGGAAUCGCUAGUAAUCGCGGAUCAGCACGCCGCGGUCGAUCGUUCCGGCCUU